GGGUCAGUAGGUUGGUCGUGCCACCGGUACGUACUGGUCUCACUGAUUCCUCCUGCCUGAAGAACCGUAAUGCCAUUAAUUUGGUGUUGCGGGGAAACAGGACUGUUACUUUGAAAAAAUUAGAGUGUUUAAAGCAAGCUAACGCUUGAAUAAAUUAGCAUGGAAUAAUGAAAUAGGACGAUCGAUCCUAUUUUGUUGGUUUCUAGUAUUGACGUA
rnacentral:rRNA from 1 species